ensembl:lncRNA
GCUCAAGAGCUCUAGACUGAAACCAGAGACCCAUCAGAAGGCGUGGCUUAUCACUGGGACUCCUGCAAGUCCCUUACUCACCUUCCCACGGACACACUGGCUGCCUCUCAGCUCCAGGAACGGGGCAGGUCCUUCGAGUUUCAGGCCUUUUGCACACGCCCAUCCCUGUCUGUUACAGCCAACGCUUAGUGCACAGCAAAUGCUCCACAAAUAUGGGUCCUGUCUCUUGGACCAUACAUGUUAUUUUAAAAGCCUUCAGCCUCACUUUCCACAUCUAUAAAAUGGGCUGAAAUUGCAUUUCUCUCACAGUGUUCUUGUGAGAAGAAAAUGAGAUGAUGAAUGCAAACGGGCUUUGGCAAACAACCUCUCAUCUCAUGUGAGGACUGCAUGAUCUUCCUCCUUAACCCUCCAGUGAGAAUUGGCAGUGAUUCUGAUUUUGACACAGGCAGGGCUCUGGGAACAUGUGCCCAGCAGUAUGUGGCUGCCUGAGUGUGCUUUCAGAAGUGCCAUGAGGUGCCCUGACUCUGCUGAUGCCUGAAAUUCCACUGUUCUUAUCACAUAUCUGUGUCAAUUCAAAAAACCCACUAGAGGAAUCAGUCAUUCACCAUCAAAGUCAAGAGGUGGUGAGACAGACCUCUCCCUGAGACACAGACAGCCUGGAAGUCUGGGUGUUUCACAACUAGAUCAGCCUCACGUCCAGCUAUCCCAUCACCUGGGAAACAGGGCCACGCAGGGCAUCGUUCUGCGGGACAUCACAGGACAAGCCAAAUCUCACCCUGCCCACCUACUGGGUCACCCCACCUCCACCUUUUGUGCUGGCUUCCUGCGCUGGACACCGGCUGCCCCCAGAAGCUUUGACUCUUUCAAGGUGGCUGACUCUGGCCUUCCCGUGUAUUCGGCACCAUGGCUGCCAUCAGCUCAUCUGAUUCUCACAGCCCUGUAAGACAAGAACCACCUUACUGAUCCCACGAUACAGAGGAGGGAAAAGAUGCAAGGAGAGGCUGUGAAUCUCACUCACUCACUCACUCACUCGUUCAUUCACUCUUUCAGCUGUCCUUCCGUUUUGUAGGAGCAGCCUUGUGGAGGCCACCAAGAACAGUGACAUAAAUAAGAUGCGGUCCCUACCUUCGGGGCUUGUGCAGGGAAAGUGACCAUGGCACGACCCCCUCGGGGUGUCUCUGUCCCCCUGGUAGUGCUGGCCACUGACAGAGUGCUAGUUCUAAAACAUGAACCAAACUCAGGUUCAGAACUCUUGCAUGGCCUGAACUCAGCGUAAAGCCCCAGACUCUAUAAACUUUCUGUUCAUAUUCUCGUACAACCAACCUCCUCUCUCACCCCCUUCACCAUGGAACUUCACACUUACCAACAUAUGACCGCCCUGCUUGCUGCCCGCCAAACAGCCCCUCCUCCCUUCCAACCACCUGCGUUCCCUGUCAGCAGGGCUCUGAUGCUGUGGGAGUGGUGCGCAGAGAUUCUCGUACCCGGCUCCUCAGCAACCCCAGUGUAAACAGAGCAUGGUUAUCCAAAUCCCUUUUGCCAAGCAUUUCCC